GACUGUUGAAGAAAAGAAAAAGCUGGAGGAAAGUGAACAGUUGCUAAACCAAAGGAGGGAUCUUAUAGCCAAUUACUGAAGCUCUGUGGAAGACCUUGUGAAGACUGAGCCAUAGUCGCUUCUCACUUUACUAAGCACAGGUAAAAAAA